GUCUGAACAUUGUUUUGACUCUUGUUGUUCUGUUGUUCAAUGUAAUUUAUCCAACCCUUAUGUUACCAGGUACGUUAACUGUUAUUUAUCCAACCCUUAUGUUACCAGGUAAGUUGACUGAUGUUAUUUAUCCAACCCUUAUGUUACCAGGUAAGUUAACUGAUGUUAUUUAUCCAACCCUUAUGUUACCAGGUAAGUUGACUGAUGUUAUUUAUCCAACCCUUAUGUUACCAGGUAAGUUAACUGAUGUUAUUUAUCCAACCCUUAUGUUACCAGGUAAGUUAACUGAUGUUAUUUAUCCAACCCUUAUGUUACCAGGUAAGUUAACUGUUAUUUAUCCAACCAUUAUGCUACCAGGUAUGUUGACUGAGAACAUAUUGUAAUUUGGGCCUAGAACAACAACCAGGGAAGAGGAGAGAGGUUUCCUCCCUCUCUCGUUCUAGUGUUGAGGGCUUUCUAAAAAAUGUG